UACGGAGGGGGCAAGCGUUGUUCGGAAUCACUGGGCGUAAAGGGCGCGUAGGCGGCGGGGUAAGUCUGGUGUGAAAUCUAGGAGCUCAACUCCUAAACUGCACUGGAUACUGCUCUGCUAGAGGACUGGAGAGGAGACUGGAAUUCACGGUGUAGCAGUGAAAUGCGUAGAUAUCGUGAGGAAGACCAGUGGCGAAGGCGGGUCUCUGGACAGUUCCUGACGCUGAGGCGCGAAGGCCAGGGGAGCAAACGGG
rnacentral:rRNA from 1 species